AUUAUUAACAAAUAUCAAGCAUGUCGAUUAAAUACCGUAAGUAUUAAUAAGUGUAGAAAACACGAAGACUGCGCAUGUUGCUUACAUGCCAGCAUUUGCCUAAUAUAUUAAGGCUGGUUUACGUCUAAUUUCUCAUAGGGCGUAAAUUAUCAUAUUAUGAGGAUAAAACGAUUUAGCUAGCAGGAAAUCGUUCGAAAUAUAACGCUAAGGCGAAUAUUAGUUUUGUUUAUUGUUCCUAAUAUUAUCCGCCGAGAUGAAACGAUAAACUAUGCACGUAGAAUGAUAUUAAUCGUGGUAGUUCGGACCCGGAGGCAGUAUCCGGCAGCUCCACCA
rnacentral:tmRNA from 1 species